rnacentral:rRNA from 1 species
ACAUGAAGCUGGAAUCGCUAGUAAUCGCGGAUCAGAAUGCCGCGGUGAAUACGUUCCCGGGUCUUGUACACACCGCCCGUCACACCAUGGGAGUCGGGAAUGCCCGAAGCCUGUGACUGAACCGGAAGGGAAGAGCAGUCGAAGGCAGGCCUGAUGACUGGGGUGAAGUCGUAACAAGGUAUC